CUCGCUCUACUCUCUCUUUCAACUCACCACUCCAAUUUUAUUGUUCAUUUGAAGAUGUCGAUCAAUUGUUGAUGAAUAUUUGCAGGUUUUGAUCGAUCGUUGAUGAAGAUUUGAAGAUUUCAAUCUGCUGUUGAUGAAGAUUUCGAUUGAUUCAUGAUCGUUAUGAUUACAAAAGGGAAUAUCAAUUGGGACUUGAGACUACCAUCCUUGUUAAGAAUUAUACUGUAGUGUUAAGGGAGUAGUUGAUAUGAUUGGGUGGGUGAUAUUGAGAGCUAAAUUCAGAUUAUUAUUAUUUUAUUUUAUUUGGAGUACUUGAAUCUAUUAGUAUUUUGUAUAAAUACUUUUAAGGAUGGUUGAUGGAUAUUUGUUUUGCAUGUAUAGAAGUUUAUAUUUUGUAUGCACAUUUUUUUUUUUUUUUUUUGAAGAAAGAUAAUUUUGUUGAGGGAAGUGAUGGAAAAUAAUA